rnacentral:rRNA from 1 species
CUGGACAGAAAGACCCUAUGAAGCUUUACUGUAGCCUGGAAUUGGGUUCGGGCUUUGCUUGCGCAGGAUAGGUGGGAGACGUUGAAGUAUCCCUUCUGGGGGAUAUGGAGUCGCCAGUGAGAUACCACUCUGGCAAGGCUAGAAUUCUAACCUUCUGCUGUUAGCCAGCGAAGGAACAGUUUCAGGUGGGCAGUUUGACUGGGGCGGUCGCCUCCUAAAUGGUAACGGAGGCGCGCAAAGGUUCCCUCAGGCUGGUCGGAAAUCAGCCGUAGAGUGCAAAGGCAUAAGGGAGCUUGACUGCAAGACCUACAAGUCGAGCAGAGACGAAAGUCGGCCUUAGUGAUCCGACGGCUCCGCGUGGAAGGGCCGUCGCUCAACGGAUAAAAGUUACUCUAGGGAUAACAGGCUGAUCUCCCCCAAGAGUUCACAUCGACGGGGAGGUUUGGCACCUCGAUGUCGGCUCAUCGCAACCUGGGGCGGUAGUACGUCCCAAGGGUUGGGCUGUUCGCCCAUUAAAGCGGUACGUGAGCUGGGUUCAGAACGUAAAUCAUUGCGUCACUUCACAGUAAUGUGGAGCAGCAAACCGACUAAAAUCGGUAGAAUCUUAAUCAGUGACGAACGGCUGGUUAAGACAAUACCGAGGGUAAGCAAGAGUCUCGUGACAGAUAAUUUGACGCUAAGUUACAUUGCUGGUUUUUUGGAUGGUGAUGGUUGUAUCAACUUGCAACUAGUACGACGCAAGGAUUACAUCCUUGGUUAUCAAAUCCGUGCUAGUGUCACUUUUUUUCAGUGUUCUUCUCACCGUUCCUUCUUGGAGUGGUUAAAGUCCAUUUUCCGAGUAGGGUUUGUGAGAAACCGAAAGGAUGGUUUAAGCGAAUACGCAAUUGUUGAUGCGCCAUCUGUCUUAGAAGUGCUGCUAACUCUCCGCAGUUACCUUAAACUCAAGAGACCACAGUGUGAUUUAGCAAUUACUGUUCUACAGGAAGUUGUUCAAUCAAGGCGAUUAACGCCAGAACAAUUCCUGAAGCUUGCUCAACAGGUGGAUCAGUUUAGUGAACUGAAUGCUUCCAAGAAGCGUUCGAUUCGCUCUGAUCAAGUGGAACAGUUCUUGAGAUCACGACAACUCUUGAUCCCGUAGAGACUGAAGCCUAGGCUUGAGUUAGCCAUCAAGCGUAAGCUGAGAUGCUCUGAGGCUGUCAGAGACAUCAAAUGUCGGCUCCUGAUUCGUUAGUGGCGAGAGUCAGGAUGAAGAUAUAGUCCAUGCUCGUAGUGAUACGGGAACAACAUGCGUGAGACAGUUCGGUCCAUAUCCGGUGCAGGCGUAGGAGCAUUGAGAGGAGUCCUCCUUAGUACGAGAGGACCGGGAGGAACGCACCUCUGGUGUACCUGUUAUCGUGCCAACGGUAAACGCAGGGUAGCCAUGUGCGGAGUGGAUAACCGCUGAAAGCAUCUAAGUGGGAAGCCCACCUCAAGAUGAGUGCUCCCAUGGCAUAAGCCAGUAAGGUCACGGGUAGAACACCCGUUAAUAGGCUCUCGAUGGAAGUCCAGUAAUGGAUGAAGUCUAGGAGUACUAAUAGACCGAGGGCUUGACCUC